AAAUAUCAACCUUGACCUGGGUUUUGUGCUCUAGUCUUGGCUUGGAAUUGGGUGCUUGCCGCUUUUACGAGCGGCUCACCUUAAAUGUAUUAGCUGGAUCUGUCUUUGAGACUUGGUUUGACUUGGCGUAAUAAGUAUUUCGCUAAGGACAUUCUUCGGAGUGGCCUCGUUUCUAGGACGCUUGUCCGCUUCCCAAUACAAGUUCCACCUCGUGGACAUGACUUUUUUUAUU
rnacentral:misc_RNA from 1 species